AGGCGAAACCUCCGAAAGGAGGUCGGCGGGAGGCGGUCCCUCCCCCCUGACGAUGCCAGCCCGCA
rnacentral:hammerhead_ribozyme from 1 species